rnacentral:rRNA from 1 species
AGAGUUUGAUCAUGGCUCAGCCUGAACGCUGGCGGCGUGGCUAAGACAUGCAAGUCGCACGGUGUAGCAAUACACAGUGGCGAACGGGUGAGUAAUGAAUCGCUAAUGUGCCCCGGACUCUGGGAUAGCUACCCGAAAGGGUAGGUAAUACCAGAUGAGACCACGAACAGGCAUCUGUUUGUGCUCAAAGGUCCGCCGGUCUGGGAGCAGGCGAUUUCGUAUCAGCUAGUUGGUGAGGUAACGGCUCACCAAGGCGACGACGCGUAGCCGGACUGAGAGGUUGGCCGGCCAUAUUGGGACUGAGACACUGCCCAGACUCCUACGGGGGGCUGCAGUAACGAAUCUUCCGCAAUGCACGAAAGUGUGACGGAGCGACGCCGCGUGGAGGAGAAGCCCUUCGGGGUGUAAACUCCUGUCAGGGGUUAGAAAGUUCUGAUCAACCCCAGAGGAAGGCACGGCUAACUCUGUGCCAGCAGCCGCGGUAAGACAGAGGUGCCAAGCGUUAGGCGGAAUCACUGGGCUUAAAGCGUGUGUAGGCGGAUCGUUAAGUACCUUGUGAAAUCCCACGGCUUAACCGUGGAACUGCUCGGUAUACUGGCGGUCUUGAGCAACCUAGGGGCGAGCGGAACAAAUGGUGGAGCGGUGAAAUGCGUAGAUAUCAUUUGGAACGCCAAUGGUGAAAACAGCUCGCUGGGGGUUUGCUGACGCUGAGACACGAAAGCCAGGGGAGCAAACGGGAUUAGAUACCCUAGUAGUCC